AGUGAACGCUGGCGGUAGGCCUAACACAUGCAAGUCGAACGGCAGCACAGUAAGAGCUUGCUCUUACGGGUGGCGAGUGGCGGACGGGUGAUGAAUACAUCGGAAUCUACUUUUUCUUGGGGGAUAACGUAGGGAAACUUACGCUAAUACCGCAUACGACCUACGGGUGAAAGCAGGGGAUCUUCGGACCUUGCGCGAUUGAAUGAGCCGAUGUCGGAUUAGCUAGUUGGCGGGGUAAAGGCCCACCAAGGCGACGAUCCGUAGCUGGUCUGAGAGGAUGAUCAGCCACACUGGAACUGAGACACGGUCCAGACUCCUACGGGAGGCAGCAGUGGGGAAUAUUGGACAAUGGGCGCAAGCCUGAUCCAGCCAUACCGCGUGUGUGAAGAAGGUCUUCGGGUUGUAAAGCACUUUUGGUGGGAAAGAAAAGCAGCAGGUUAAUACCCCGCUGUUCUGACGGUACCAAAAGAAUAAGCACCGGCUAACUUCGUG
rnacentral:rRNA from 1 species